AACGAACGCUGGCGGCAGGCUUAACACAUGCAAGUCGAGCGCCCCGCAAGGGGAGCGGCAGACGGGUGAGUAACGCGUGGGAAUCUACCCAUCCCUACGGAAUAGCUCCGGGAAACUGGAAUUAAUACCGUAUACGCCCUACGGGGGAAAGAUUUAUCGGGGAUGGAUGAGCCCGCGUUGGAUUAGCUAGUUGGUGGGGUAAAGGCCUACCAAGGCGACGAUCCAUAGCUGGUCUGAGAGGAUGAUCAGCCACAUUGGGACUGAGACACGGCCCAAACUCCUACGGGAGGCAGCAGUGGGGAAUAUUGGACAAUGGGGGCAACCCUGAUCCAGCCAUGCCGCGUGAGUGAUGAAGGCCUUAGGGUUGUAAAGCUCUUACACCGGGGAAGAUAAUGACGGUACCCGGAGAAGAAGCCCCGGCUAACUUCGUGCCAGCCGCCGCCGUAAGAC
rnacentral:rRNA from 1 species